CCUACGGGCGGCAGCAGUGAGGAAUAUUGGUCAAUGGACGAGAGUCUGAACCAGCCACGUAGCGUGAAGGAUGACUGCCCUCUGGGUUGUAAACUUCUUUUAUAUGGGAAUAAAGUGUUCCACGUGUGGGGUUUUGUAUGUACCAUAUGAAUAAGGAUCGGCUAACUCCGUGCCAGCAGCCGCGGUAAUACGGAGGAUCCGAGCGUUAACCGGAUGUAUUGGGUUUAAAGGGAGCGUAGGUGGAAUGUUAAGUCAGUGGUGAAAGUUUGCGGCUCAACCGUAGAAUUGCAGUUGAAACUGGCAGUCUUGAGUACAGUAGAGGUGAGCGGAAUUCGUGGUGUAGCGGUGAAAUGCUUAGAUAUCACGAAGAACUCCGAUUGCGAAGGCAGCUCACUGGACUGCAACUGACGCUGAGGCGCGAAAGUGUGGGUAUCAAACAGGAUUAGAUACCCGAGUAGUC
rnacentral:rRNA from 1 species